UGGGGAAUCUUCCGCAAUGGACGAAAGUCUGACGGAGCAACGCCGCGUGAGUGAAGACGGCCUUCGGGUUGUAAAGCUCUUUGAUCCGGGACGAAAGUGCCUGAGGUGAAUAGCCUAAGGAAGUGACGGUACCGGAAAAGCAAGCCACGGCUAACUACGUGCCAGCAGCCGCGGUAAUACGUAGGUGGCAAGCGUUGUCCGGAAUUAUUGGUCGUAAAGCGCGGGCAGACGGCUUCCUACGUCCAUCUUAAAAGGGCGGGGCUUAACCCCGUGAUGGGGUGGAAACUGGGAAGCUAGAGUAUCGGAGAGGAAAGUGGAAUUCCUAGUGUAGCGGUGAAAUGCGUAGAGAUUAGGAAGAACACCGGUGGCGAAGGCGACUUUCUGGACGAAAACUGACGCUGAGGCGCGAAAGCGUGGGGAGCAAACAGG
rnacentral:rRNA from 1 species